AGUAAGGAAUAUUGGUCAAUGGACGAAAGUCUGAACCAGCUAUGCCGCGUGGAGGAUGAAGGCCCUCUGGGUUGUAAACUUCUUUUAUAUGGGACGAAAAAGGGCUUUUCUAGGCCAACUGACGGUACCAUGUGAAUAAGCACCGGCUAACUCCGUGCCAGCAGCCGCGGUAAUACGGAGGGUGCAAGCGUUAUCCGGAUUCACUGGGUUUAAAGGGUGCGUAGGUGGGUUGGUAAGUCAGUGGUGAAAUCCCCGAGCUUAACUUGGGAACUGCCAUUGAUACUAUCAGUCUUGAAUACCGUGGAGGUCAGCGGAAUAUGUCAUGUAGCGGUGAAAUGCUUAGAUAUGACAUAGAACACCAAUUGCGAAGGCAGCUGGCUACGCGAAUAUUGACACUGAGGCACGAAAGCGUGGGGAUCAAA
rnacentral:rRNA from 1 species